AUACGGAGGAUCCGAGCGUUAUCCGGAUUUAUUGGGUUUAAAGGGAGCGUAGGUGGGAUAUUAAGUCAGCUGUGAAAGUUUGGGGCUCGACCUUAAAAUUGCAGUUGAUACUGGUUUCCUUGAGUACGGUACAGGUGGGCGGAAUUCGUGGUGUAGCGGUGAAAUGCUUAGAUAUCACGAAGAACUCCGAUCGCGAAGGCAGCUCACCGGGCCGGAACUGACACUGAUGCUCGAAAGCGUGGGUAUCAAACAGGAUUAGAUACCCUGGUAGUCCACGCAGUAAACGAUGAUUACUAGCUGUUUGCGAUAUACAGUAAGUGGCACAGCGAAAGCGUUAAGUAAUCCACCUGGGGAGUACGCCGGCAACGGUGAAACUCAAAGGAAUUGACGGGG
rnacentral:rRNA from 1 species